GACGAACCAUGCAAACGUUAUUCGGAUUCACUGGGCUUAAAGCGCGCGUAGGCGGUCUUGUUAGUCAGGUGUGAAAGCCCUCAGCCUAACUGAGGAAUUGCGCUUGAUACUGCAUGACUAGAGAAUGAUAGAGGUGGGUGGAACUGAUGGUGGAGCGGUGAAAUGCGUUGAUAUCAUCAGGAACACCAGUGGCGAAGGCGACCCACUGGGUCAUUUCUGACGCUGAGGUACGAAAGCUAGGGUAGCGAACGGG
rnacentral:rRNA from 1 species